rnacentral:rRNA from 1 species
CUUCGGGUUGUAAAGUACUUUCAGUCGUGAGGAAGGUUGUAGUGUGAAUAGCACUAUGAUUUGACGUUAGCGACAGAAGAAGCACCGGCUAACUCCGUGCCAGCAGCCGCGGUAAUA